UAGAAUACUCAAGGCUAUGCAUUCCAACGCGUUGGGAGCUUUCCCAUAUGGUCGAACUUGCAGGCGGCCGGGAAUUCAUUAGUGAUUAGAGUUUGAUCAUGGCUCAGGACGAACGCUGGCGGCGUGCUUAACACAUGCAAGUCGAACGAUGAAGCUGGAGCUUGCUCCGGUGGAUUAGUGGCGAACGGGUGAGUAACACGUGAGCAAUCUGCCCUUGACUCUGGGAUAACUGCGGGAAACUGUAGCUAAUACCGGAUAUUUUCCUCGGUGGGCAUCCACUGGGGAAGAAAGAAUUUCGGUCAAGGAUGAGCUCGCGACCUAUCAGCUAGUUGGUGAGGUAAUGGCUCACCAAGGCGACGACGGGUAGCCGGCCUGAGAGGGUGACCGGCCACACUGGGACUGAGACACGGCCCAGACUCCUACGGGAGGCAGCAGUGGGGAAUAUUGCACAAUGGGCGAAAGCCUGAUGCAGCAACGCCGCGUGAGGGACGAAGGCCUUCGGGUUGUAAACCUCUUUUAGCAGGGAAGAAGCGAAAGUGACGGUACCUGCAGAAAAAGCACCGGCUAACUACGUGCCAGCAGCCGCGGUAAUACGUAGGGUGCAAGCGUUGUCCGGAAUUAUUGGGCGUAAAGAGCUCGUAGGCGGUUUGUCACGUCUGCUGUGAAAUUUCGAGGCUCAACCUCGAACUUGCAGUGGGUACGGGCAGGCUAGAGUGCGGUAGGGGAGAUGGGAAUUCCUGGUGUAGCGGUGGAAUGCGCAGAUAUCAGGAGGAACACCAAUGGCGAAGGCACAUCUCUGGGCCGUAACUGACGCUGAGGAGCGAAAGCAUGGGGAGCAAACAGGAUUAGAUACCCUGGUAGUCCAUGCCGUAAACGGUGGGUGGUAGCUGUGGGCCACAUUCCACGUGGUCCGUGACGAAGUUAACACAUUAAGCA
rnacentral:rRNA from 1 species